rnacentral:rRNA from 1 species
UCGGGAAUUUUGGGCAAUGGGCGAAAGCCUGACCCAGCAACGCCGCGUGAAGGAUGAAGUAUUUCGGUAUGUAAACUUCGAAAGAAUAGGAAGAAUAAAUGACGGUACUAUUUAUAAGGUCCGGCUAACUACGUGCCAGCAGCCGCGGUAAUACGUAGGGACCAAGCGUUGUUCGGAUUUACUGGGCGUAAAGGGCGCGUAGGCGGCAAUUCAAGUCAUCUGUGAAAUCUCCGGGCUUAACUCGGAACGGUCAGAUGAUACUGCUUUGCUAGAGUGCAGAAGGGGCAAUCGGAAUUCUUGGUGUAGCGGUGAAAUGCGUAGAUAUCAAGAGGAACACCUGAGGUGAAGACGGGUUGCUGGGCUGACACUGACGCUGAGGCGCGAAAGCCAGGGGAGCAAA